GUAGGGAGCAAGCGUUGUUCGGAAUUAUUGGGCGUAAAGAGCGCGUAGGCGGCUAGGCAAGUCCGGUGUGAAAUCCCACAGCUCAACUGUGGAACUGCAUUGGAAACUUCCUAGCUGGAGUGCGGGAGAGGAGAGUGGAAUUCCCAGUGUAGAGGUGAAAUUCGUAGAUAUUGGGAGGAACACCGGUGGCGAAGGCGGCUCUCUGGACCGCAACUGACGCUGAGGCGCGAAAGCUAGGGGAGCGAACGGGAUUAGAUACCCCGGUAGUCCUAGCCGUAAACGAUGGGCACUAGGUGUGGGAGGUAUCGACCCCUUCUGUGCCGCAGCUAACGCAUUAAGUGCCCCGCCUGGGGAGUACGGUCGCAAGACUA
rnacentral:rRNA from 1 species